rnacentral:rRNA from 1 species
AUGCAGUCGAGCGGGAACUUCAGGAGGGGUAACCCACCUGAGGGGAGAGCGGCGAACGGGUGAGUAUCACGUGGGCAACCUGCCCCGGACACCGGGAUAACCCAGGGAAACCUGAGCUAAUACUGGAUACUCCGGCGCGACCACAUGGUCGUUCCGGGAAAGCCUUGACGGUCCGGGAUGGGCCCGCGGCCUAUCAGCUUGUUGGUGGGGUGACGGCCCACCAAGGCGACGACGGGUAGCUGGUCUGAGAGGACGGCCAGCCACACUGGGACUGAGACACGGCCCAGACUCCUACGGGAGGCAGCAGUGGGGGAUCUUGCGCUAAUGCGCGAAAGCGUGACGCAGCGACGCCGCGUGGGGGAUGAAGGCCCUCGGGUUGUAAACCCCUUUCGGCAGGGACGAAGCGAAAGUGACGGUACCUGCAGAAGAAGUCCCGGCUAACUACGUGCCAGCAGCCGCGGUAACACGUAGGGGACGAGCGUUGUCCGGAAUCAUUGGGCGUAAAGCGCGCGUAGGCGGCCUGGAAAGUCGGUUGUGAAAGCCCGGGGCUCAACCCCGGGACUGCAUCCGAUACUGCCAGGCUGGAGGUAGGUAGGGGAGAUCGGAAUUCCUGGUGUAGCGGUGAAAUGCGCAGAUAUCAGGAGGAACACCGGUGGCGAAGGCGGAUCUCUGGGCCUUACCUGACGCUGAGGCGC